rnacentral:siRNA from 1 species
UUAUGGAAUGGUACGAGCGGC